rnacentral:misc_RNA from 1 species
AUGAUUGGCCUCACGGCCUUUAUCAAUUAUUAAUCCCAACACCUCUGUGAACCGUUUUCGGCCUUCGGGCCGAUCUUUUACAAUACAAACAUUGUGUAAUGAACGUCUUGUUAUCUUAACAAAACA